CGACGUGGGCGGUUCGCUGCCUGCGACGUCGCGAGAAUUCCACUGAACCUUAUCAUUUAGAGGAAGGAGAAGUCGUAACAAGGUUUCCGUAGGUGAACCUGCGGAAGGAUCAUUGUCGAACCCUGCAAAGCAGAACGACCUGUGAACACGUAAAUACAACUUGGUGAUGUCGAGAUGGGCCUUGGUCCUGAUCCUCAAAACCCUCUGACCAGCAAUUGUGUUGUCUCUUUUGGGGCACCAUGGAUGCUUGUUGGACUAUAACAAACCCCGGCACGGAAUGUGCCAAGGAAAACAAAAAUUGAGAAGGACUCGUCUUGUUAUGCCCCGUUUGCGGUGUGCAUACUGGUCGUGGCCUGCUUGGAAUAACAAACGACUCUCGGCAACGGAUAUCUCGGCUCACGCAUCGAUGAAGAACGUAGCAAAAUGCGAUACUUGGUGUGAAUUGCAGAAUCCCGUGAACCAUCGAGUUUUUGAACGCAAGUUGCGCCCAAAGCCAUCCGGCUGAGGGCACGCCUGCCUGGGCGUCACGCAUCGCAUUGCCCCCCACCAUAACCUUCUCAACGAGUAHUUUUGGUGAUUGGGGCGGAGAUUGGUUUCCCAUGCUUGUAGUGUGGUUGGCCUAAAUAGGAGUUCCCUUUGGUGGACACACGGCUAGUGGUGGUUGUAUAGACCCUCUUUUUUUGCUGUGUGUUGUGAGCCGUUAGGGUAACGCUUAACAAAGACCCCAUUGUAUCGUCUUUUGACGGUACUUCGACUGCGACCCCAGGUCAGGCGGGACUACCCGCUGAGUUUAAGCAUAUCAAUAAGCGGA
rnacentral:rRNA from 1 species